rnacentral:rRNA from 1 species
UUACGGGAGGCAGCAGCUAAGAAUCUUGCGCAAUGGGCGAAAGCCUGACGCAGCAAUUCCGCGUGGGGGACGAAGGCCCUCGGGUCGUAAACCCCUUUUACGAGGGAAGAAGUUCUGACGGUACCUCGUGAAUAAGACACGGCUAACUACGUGCCAGCAGCCGCGGUAAUACGUAGGUGUCUAGCGUUGUCCGGAUUUAUUGGGCGUAAAGCGCCCGCAGGCGGCUUGCCAAGUUCGAAGUGAAAUCUCCCGGCUUAACUGGGAGGGUGCUCCGAAAACUGGCAGGCUUGAGUCAUGGAGAGGGAUGUGGAAUUCCCGGUGUAGUGGUGAAAUGCGUAGAUAUCGGGAGGAACACCAGUGGCGAAGGCGGCAUCCUGGCCAUGUACUGACGCUCAGGGGCGAAAGCGUGGGGAGCAAACCGGAUUAGAUACCCCGGU